rnacentral:rRNA from 1 species
UGGGGAAUUUUGGGCAAUGGGCGAAAGCCUGACCCAGCAACGCCGCGUGAAGGAGGAAAUCCUUCGGGAUGUAAACUUCACAAGCAAGGGAAGAGCGCGAGGGGGUUAAUAACUCCCUCGUCCGACGGUACCUUGCGUAAGCCACGGCUAACUACGUGCCAGCAGCCGCGGUAAUACGUAGGUGGCAAGCGUUGUUCGGAAUUAUUGGGCGUAAAGGGCGCGUAGGCGGUUCGUUAAGUCGGCUGUGAAAGCCCGGGGCUCAACCCCGGAGGGUCGGCCGAUACUGGCGAACUAGAGUACGGAAGAGGUAGCUGGAAUUCCCGGUGUAGCGGUGAAAUGCGUAGAUAUUGGGAGGAACACCUGAGGCGAAGGCGGGCUACUGGGCCGAUACUGACGCUGAUGCGCGAAAGCCAGGGGAGCGAACGGGAUUAGAUACCCCGGUAGUCCUGGCCCUAAACGAUGGACACUUGGUGUGUCGGGUUUUUCAGUCCCGGCGUGCCGGAGCUAACGCGUUAAGUGUCCCGCCUGGGGAGUACGGUCGCAAGGC